rnacentral:rRNA from 1 species
GCCGGAGGGAAACCGAGUCUUAAUUGGGCGUUAAGUUGCAGGGUAUAGACCCGAAACCCGGUGAUCUAGCCAUGGGCAGGUUGAAGGUUGGGUAACACUAACUGGAGGACCGAACCGACUAAUGUUGAAAAAUUAGCGGAUGACCUGUGGCUGGGGGUGAAAGGCCAAUCAAACCGGGAGAUAGCUGGUUCUCCCCGAAAGCUAUUUAGGUAGCGCCUCGUGAAUUCAUCUCCGGGGGUAGAGCACUGUUUCGGCUAGGGGGCCAUCCCGGCUUACCAACCCGAUGCAAACUGCGAAUACCGGAGAAUGUUAUCACGGGAGACACACGGCGGGUGCUAACGUCCGUCGUGAAGAGGGAAACAACCCAGACCGCCAGCUAAGGUCCCAAAGUCAUGGUUAAGUGGGAAACGAUGUGGGAAGGCCCAGACAGCCAGGAUGUUGGCUUAGAAGCAGCCAUCAUUUAAAGAAAGCGUAAUAGCUCACUGGUCGAGUCGGCCUGCGCGGAAGAUGUAACGGGGCUAAACCAUGCACCGAAGCUGCGGCAGCGAACGUAUCACUUAAAGCGAUUCAGCGGAUGACGAUUGACGGAGCGAAGCGACGUCAAAGCGUAUACAAAGUCGAGUCGGUUUAAGGAUACGUUCGUUGGGUAGGGGAGCGUUCUGUAAGCCUGCGAAGGUGGCCUGUGAGGGUUGCUGGAGGUAUCAGAAGUGCGAAUGCUGACAUAAGUAACGAUAAAGCGGGUGAAAAGCCCGCUCGCCGGAAGACCAAGGGUUCCUGUCCAACGUUAAUCGGGGCAGGGUGAGUCGACCCCUAAGGCGAGGCCGAAAGGCGUAGUCGAUGGGAAACGGGUUAAUAUUCCCGUACUUGGUGUUACUGCGAAGGGGGGACGGAGAAGGCUAUGUUGGCCGGGCGACGGUUGUCCCGGUUUAAGCGUGUAGGUGUGUGUUCCAGGUAAAUCCGGUUCACUUUAACACUGAGGCGUGAUGACGAGGCACUACGGUGCUGAAGCAACAAAUGCCCUGCUUCCAGGAAAAGCCUCUAAGCAUCAGGUAACAUCAAAUCGUACCCCAAACCGACACAGGUGGUCAGGUAGAGAAUACCAAGGCGCUUGAGAGAACUCGGGUGAAGGAACUAGGCAAAAUGGUGCCGUAACUUCGGGAGAAGGCACGCUGACAUGUAGGUGAAGUGAUUUACUCAUGGAGCUGAAGUCAGUCGAAGAUACCAGCUGGCUGCAACUGUUUAUUAAAAACACAGCACUGUGCAAACACGAAAGUGGACGUAUACGGUGUGACGCCUGCCCGGUGCCGGAAGGUUAAUUGAUGGGGUCAGCGCAAGCGAAGCUCCUGAUCGAAGCCCCGGUAAACGGCGGCCGUAACUAUAACGGUCCUAAGGUAGCGAAAUUCCUUGUCGGGUAAGUUCCGACCUGCACGAAUGGCGUAAUGAUGGCCAGGCUGUCUCCACCCGAGACUCAGUGAAAUUGAACUCGCUGUGAAGAUGCAGUGUACCCGCGGCAAGACGGAAAGACCCCGUGAACCUUUACUAUAGCUUGACACUGAACAUUGAGCCUUGAUGUGUAGGAUAGGUGGGAGGCUUUGAAGUGUGGACGCCAGUCUGCAUGGAGCCGACCUUGAAAUACCACCCUUUAA